rnacentral:rRNA from 1 species
UUUUUAAUGAAAUUAUAUUAAAUAAAGCCUGCUCAAUGAAAUAAAUAGCCGCAGAAAUUUUACUGUGCUAAGGUAGCAUAAUCACUUGUCUCUUAAUUAGAGACUAGAAUGAACGGCCUAACAAUUAAAUAAUUUUUUUCAAUUUUAAAUUUAAUCUACAUUAAACAUCAAAAUAUGUUUAUCAAUAUAAUAGACGACAAGACCCCAUUGAACUUAACUGAAGUUAAGCUGGGGAAGCUAAUUAAUAAUUAUUUUAAAUUUAAUACUUUAAUAAAAAUCCAUAAAAAUGAAAAUUAUCAAGUUACCAUGGGGAUAACAGCGUAAUAUUUCUCUAAAGCUCUCAUUAUAAGAAAAGAUUACGACCUCGAUGUUGAAUAAUUUUACUUACUAACGCAAGAGUUAAAAUAAGUAAGUCUUUCGACUUUUUAAAAAUUACA